rnacentral:rRNA from 1 species
AUUGAACGCUGGCGGCAGGCCUAACACAUGCAAGUCGAGCGGAUGAGAAGAGCUUGCUCUUCGAUUCAGCGGCGGACGGGUGAGUAAUGCCUAGGAAUCUGCCUGGUAGUGGGGGACAACGUUUCGAAAGGAACGCUAAUACCGCAUACGUCCUACGGGAGAAAGCAGGGGACCUUCGGGCCUUGCGCUAUCAGAUGAGCCUAGGUCGGAUUAGCUAGUUGGUGAGGUAAUGGCUCACCAAGGCGACGAUCCGUAACUGGUCUGAGAGGAUGAUCAGUAACACUGGAACUGAGACACGGGCCAGACUCCUACGGGAGGCAGCAGUGGGGAAUAUUGGACAAUGGGCGAAAGCCUGAUCCAGCCAUGCCGCGUGUGUGAAGAAGGUCUUCGGAUUGUAAAGCACUUUAAGUUGGGAGGAAGGGCAGUAAGUUAAUACCUUGCUGUUUUGACGUUACCGACAGAAUAAGCACCGGCUAACUCUGUGCCAGCCGCCGCCGUAACAC